rnacentral:rRNA from 1 species
AGAGUUUGAUCAUGGCUCAGGACGAACGCUGGCGGCGCGCCUAACACAUGCAAGUCGAACGAGAUCUUUUAGAGAGCUUGCUCUCUGGUUGAUCGAGUGGCGGACGGGUGAGUAACACGUGAGCAACCUACCCUGGAGUGGGGGAUAACAUCUGGAAACGGAUGCUAAUACCGCAUAACAUCCCGAAGUGGCAUCACUUUGGGAUCAAAGAAGCAAUUUGCUUUAGGAUGGGCUCGCGCCCGAUUAGAUAGUUGGUGAGGUAAUGGCUCACCAAGUCUGCGAUCGGUAGCCGGACUGAGAGGUCGAACGGCCACAUUGGGACUGAGACACGGCCCAGACUCCUACGGGAGGCAGCAGUGGGGAAUAUUGCACAAUGGGGGAAACCCUGAUGCAGCGACGCCGCGUGAGUGAAGACGGCCUUCGGGUUGUAAAGCUCUGUCUUCGGGGACGAUAAUGACGGUACCCGAGGAGGAAGCCACGGCUAACUACGUGCCAGCAGCCGCGGUAAUACGUAGGUGGCAAGCGUUGUCCGGAAUUACUGGGUGUAAAGGGAGCGUAGGCGGGAGUUUA